rnacentral:tRNA from 11 species
CCGGGUUCGAGUCCCGGGCAACCCAUAUAGAAA